rnacentral:rRNA from 1 species
UACAGAGGGUGCGAGCGUUGUCCGGAAUCACUGGGCGUAAAGGGCGCGUAGGCGGUUCGUCGCGUCGGCUGUGAAAUCCCGGAGCUCAACUCCGGGUCUGCAGUCGAUACGGGCGGACUCGAGUUCGGCAGGGGAGACUGGAAUUCCUGGUGUAGCGGUGAAAUGCGCAGAUAUCAGGAGGAACACCGGUGGCGAAGGCGGGUCUCUGGGCCGAUACUGACGCUGAGGAGCGAAAGCGUGGGGAGCGAACAGG